UUUUCCUCCAAAACAAUUUUUAUUUCCUCCAAAUAUACCACACUGAAAGUGAAUAGGUAUUAUACUAAAGCCACAUGUUUUUGUUGUAGUGUUGCAAAUAUUAACUUCGAGUUGAAUGUGAUUCUUUAAGCUAGACUGAAAGAUGAUCUAAUUAUUUACAUAUAAACUAUAUAUUUCUAAGCUAAAAAGUGCUUUUCUCUUCAAAUUUUGGUUGCAAAGCCUUAAACGCAUAAACCAUAAGUGCAUAUUACAAAAAAUGCCAACAUCAAUACAGAUUUUUUUUAAUUUCAUGAAAUUGUAAAGCUAGUAAUGU
rnacentral:lncRNA from 1 species